AAGCCGCGAGGUGGAGCUAAUCCCAUAAAACUAUUCUCAGUUCGGAUUGUAGGCUGCAACUCGCCUACAUGAAGCCGGAAUCGCUAGUAAUCGUGGAUCAGCAUGCCACGGUGAAUACGUUCCCGGGCCUUGUACACACCGCCCGUCACACCACGAGAGUUUGUAACACCCGAAGUCGGUAGGGUAACCUUUAUGGAGCCAGCCGCCGAAGGUGGGACAGAUAAUUGGGGUGAAGUCGUAACAAGGUAGCCGUAUCGGAAGGUGCGGCUGGAUCACCUCCUUUCUAAGGAA
rnacentral:rRNA from 1 species